rnacentral:lncRNA from 1 species
AUGGAUCAAUAUUUGGCAAACUAUAAGAAGGCCCAGGAUCAAAUAGUUGCCCUCUUCUUCCCAUUACUUCCAUGAUUCCUUUUCCUCUAGUACCCAUACUAGUCAUCUGCACACUACUGGUAGUAAUCAUAGUGUUUGUUUCACUCAGUUGAUUUUCAGGAUUCACUUGCUCAUACAGCUGCACAUUAGCUUGAUCAUCUAACUUGCUUGAAGCCUGAUCAGUCUGCACUACUAACACUGGUGGAUUAACAGCUUCCUCAGACUGCUUUUGGAUUCCAUCAGUUGCUACAUUCUUCUUUACUAUCCAUUCAUUCUUCUUUUGCUUCCCCUGCUGCGUGUGUUUAAUUUCCCCUUUUCUUAUGUCUUUUUGCUCCUUCACAUGAUUGUCUGAAAUCCCAGAAGAAUAUCAACACUCAAUUGUGUCAUGACCAAACUUAAGGCAGUGAUUGCAAAAAGUAGGCUUCCA